CCCGUAGUCUAGCCUGGUAGGAUGCCCAGGGACGGUAGUCCCGCACAAGCCUGACGUUGCUCGGUUGACGGUGGUUGGUUUGAGCAUUGGAUCGCGGGAGAUCCCGGGUUCAAGUCCCGGCGGG
rnacentral:tRNA from 2 species